AUGUUCUGGGGAGUCAGCCAAGAGCUCCAUCCUGGACUACCGAACAACAGGCCCUCCCCACGUCAUUCCCCUGUAGAAAACACUUCACAGUAGUUAUUCUUCAUUUUUCCUAUUCUCAACACGUAAAUAUGGGAAAGUUUGUAACAAAGCCCUGCCUAGGAAUGGAUUGCAAUUCAAUUAAUUAUUCAAUGUCCUUUUUAAACUGAAUCCUUCACCCCUGAGUCUUUGCCAAUUCACAUUUCAUCUUCUUAGGAAUGCAGUCAAUUUCUAAAAACUAAAACACAGUACGUGGAACCAUUACGUUUACUGUAUAUUGCAAUGGUCAAGUAUACUAUAUGGUUCUGUAUAGUUAUUCUCAUAAAGGGUAGUGUUAACUCCAUUCCUUUGACAAUUACACUCUUUGAACAAAGAGUAUUGUUAACUGGACACAUGCCACCUGUGUGUACUGAAAUCAUAUUAUGAGACAAGUUAAUCAGAAGACAUGCCAGACUACUGGAAACAACUGUGAGAUGGCUUUGAUCAAGAACAGCCUGAAUCAUGACCUACUUGGCAAAGGGUAUUUAACAUUCUUUCAUUCAAGUCUUGAAAGAUUAGAUUGAGAAAUAAGAGAAACAAAAUCUACACACCAUACCAGUGCUGUUCCUGUGGGAGCACUCUGAGUCAAUCCUAGCCUUGCAGAAAUGAAUAUUCUGUAUGUAUUACUGUUCCAGUCGGUAAGGCAUUAUCAAGUAUGAGUAACAAAACCUACUAGAAUCCGUGUUAAAGGUGUGGCAACAUAACACACCAAUCCAUUGACACACAAACUUAGCAUGCAAAUCUCACUUUACAUGUUACAGUAUAUACUUUAUUUAAAGGAAUACAGGCUGAUCUGGUGCUAGUGUUACAAGCGUCAUUUUGAGAAACAAGUACAGUACGGUGAAUUCCACAGAAAAUCUAUUAUUUUACCAACUUUAGACCUUCAACGAUUAAAUCUUUCACUCACAGUUCACUUCUAAGGUAGGAAUUAAGGGGAAAAACAACUGCUUAUUCUUGUUUUUCACAGCAACAAUAUUGUAGUCGUUUAUUUCCCUGUGCAGAAUAAGGGCAGAUAUGUAAAACGUUCUCCUCCAUCAAGCCAGUUAGCUGGUUCAUCUUUCACAAAAAUCUGUUAAACUACAGCUUUACUGGAUUCUCUUCCAGACUCGUCCUUGAUAUUAUAAGUGUGUUUACAUAUCAUCAGGAAAAGACUGAGGACAAUGGCAGCGAGUAGUUGAGGCCAGUCCUAAAGGGCAACCUACAGAUUUUUCAACUGAUUCAGCUGGUCGACGUUUACCAUGACUGCCAAAUAAACUUUUUUUUCCAAUUUAAAUAUAAAUUAGACCAUUUUAAUUCUUUGCCUGGAUGAUGUUUUUUCUGGCCUGGUCUGAGGAUUAUUUUAUAUUGUACAGUAUGCAAUACUUUGAUUAAGAACCACAGUGCACUGCACAGAUGCGUAUUUAUAUACAUGUUCUUUAGUUUUACACAACGCUCUUGGGGAUCUAGCUCCUGGGCCUGCAAGAAUAGGUGGUAAAACCAUAAACGAAGGCAGGGGCCGACUCACAGCAUUGUACACUGGGCCCUGCAGCUUCUAUUUGCACAAUGGGGUCGUUCUUUGGUCACAGCGCUUGUAAAAUUUAAUCCAAUGCUCCUGGAACAUAAAAAAAAAUAAAAAUGGUAGCACUGCAGGAGUGUGCUUUGCACAUUAGUGCACUGCUUUCACAGCUCUGCUGCUGAUAAGCUUACAGUAUGGGAGACAUCCCUCUGCCUGCCUUGCAGGACCAAAGGAAUUCCAAAUAUGCGACUAAUGCAAACAGUAAACCUCAUACCCUUGUGCCUAAUGAAAUCAAUGCUUUGCUCUUUUCCGGUGGGCAAUACAGAGGGCCAGAUUUUUGCAAGCUGUAGCCAAACAUUUCCAUCGGAAAAUUCACAGGGACAUAUAAAUUAAAACCAGUGGACGCUUUGUCUCCUAGCUGGGGAACAGCGUUCUAAGAAAAUGAGACUGGGGAUUUAGCCCACACUUAUUUAUUGCAUGUCUCAGGUAGCAGACUUUUCAGACAAUGCAUUCCUCAAAGGCACAAAAAUGAAAACAUUAUGUCUAGAUCAGCUUAGUGUAUUUCUAUAGACUCGGCUUCUGCUCUUUCUAAACCAUUUUUGCUGGGUUUUCUGAGGAGUCUUUUCUGUGAAUGAAAUGCCAUAUUCGGUCUUAUCAAAUCUAAUUUGAGAAAAUGCAUUGGGUAUCUGCUAAUGAAACUCUAUGUGUUGUAGAGAAACUGGUGAUAAAGUAACACUAGCCUCACUCACUGCAUUGCAAUGUGACCUAGGCUGACCCUGCCUGGGGUUUCCUUGUCUCAAUAGAGAGCUGGACAUUAGGUGGAACAAAAAUCAGGAAGGCUUGGGGUCAAAGGUCAAAGGGCGGUAUCUCUCAGCGGACCAUUGCAGACAGGAAAAUUAGGUGCAAUGAAAUCCCCAGGUCAGGGUUUUAAUUAGAGGUAUUUUGUUUAAACAAGUAAUUAAAGUUACAUUGCACAAGUCUACUUUGUUAACACACAACGGCAUAAUAGAUUCAAGGACUGUUUCUUUAAAAACACAUACUAAUGCCAUAAGCUACCAUAGUGCCAUUUGUAAAGUUUUUUCCUGGAGUGUCAGGAAAACUUUUGUCAUUUUGUCACAUCAUUUUGUCUCAUCAAGAGCUGAGUGGGUGAGGUAUAGAAGGAUAUUUUUCUCAUUGCCAGGCACAAUGAAAAAUCAACAGACAGAUACAAUUACUAAAGGAAACUGAUACUGCAGCAUGAUUCUACACAACAUAAUCCCUUCUCAGCUGCUAAGGAGCAACACAAAUGGUGGAGAGGGGUGAUACACAUGGCGUGUGCAGGGGAGGACUCUCUGGCUUCUAGCUGAGCUGAAUCCUGGUGGGUAUUCGAUAUCGUGCAACCCCACCACGUACUGACGAUAGGAGCAAGAUAGAAUUCCCGCUGCUUUCCAGCGCCGGCGCUAGAGCUGAACUCUUCUGCCAGAAUGGGAUUGAAAUUCUGUGAGCCGAGCGCUGCAUCAUGCGAAGAAGCAAAUUCACGGCACAAAGCUGGCUUCUUCACCACGGGGGGGGAACAAUACCCUACAGGUGCCAGAAGGAUAAGUGCACUAGUGAAAGAAAAGACUUCCUGAAAACGGGUAUUUCCAGCUCCCAGCAGUUGUGAUAUUCUUUGUCUUAGAGUCUGUUUCAGGGGAAAGUGAAAAUAAAAGUUUAAACAACCCCCC